GAAANCCCUUAUUUUUAUAGAUGAUCAAUGAGAAACUGACUAUUGUGUUUCUAAGAGUUUGCUUUAGGGUAAAUACUAAUUCAUUAAAAACACUUCCAAAAUAUUAAUUCAUUUUCCUUACAUUGUCGAAAUAGAAAACUCAAAAGGUCAUCAUGUUCAUGACUUGGGAUAUUCUAUUCUCAAUGCUAAGGUAUUUAUGGCAUUCAAAAUUUAAGCUAAAAAUUGGCUUUUGAUGUAUUCAGAAUCUUUAAUCUGGAGCUUUUAGCUAUUACUCGGAUUUUUUUGUUUAGCAAACUUAUAAGAGUUUCGAGUUUAUUUCCCUGACAUUUUACUACCAUUUGAUGUAGGAUUGGAAGAGGAAGUGGACAAGUUGUGAAUAGUGAUAAAGGGGUGGUUUACACUCACAAGGACCUACCUUUGCAGGGUUGAGCCUGCACAACCCAAGUAUUAUGCAUUGGUUUUGUAUGACACUAGCAUUUGAUGAAGCCGUCUGGUCUAAUUAAUUGUCUGCAAAUUAAAAGUCUGGGAAUGGAUCAAUGGAUCGGUGGUUUUGGUUUCAAUCAGAGAUUCAAUAUCAAAUUUCAUUCCCACCCAAUGUACUAUGUAAUAGGGCAGUUGGGCAUUUCAUUGGCAUCUCAAAUUUUGAGGAUUCUGAUUAAAUCUCUUUGGAGGGAAUGACCUUAAUAAUUUUUCACUUAUAAGCCUCUUCUUUAUUUUGCUUACGACUGCUAGCUUGAUAUGCUCGAUUGCUUGGCACGAGUGACAUUGUUUUAAAGUGGUUUGACAUUCAAGAUAAAUUUACAUGUUAAACGUUGACACUGCUUGACAUGGCGUCAAGAUAUCCUAUAAUUUUUCCAAGCACAACAAAAGUUUUAGUAUUUUCUUGAAGUAUGUUAACCGUUUAUACGAAGUUUCGGUUCUAUUAUUUUGAUGGUCAUGAAUGAAGACGUCUUCUACUGGGGCAUCUUCGUCUUUUGCUUCUUUGGUGACAUCUUGUCUAUGGACGAUGAAGG
rnacentral:lncRNA from 1 species